UAAAUUACCACCACAAUCCCAAGGAUGAUGGUCUCAAUAGCCAUGUAAGAGAAAUUUAAUGCAAUUUAUUUAGAAAAAAAUUAGAUCAACUAAAGAGUUUGAAUUUAAGUUCCAACGCUGUUGAUAAAGCUUCAUCUACUUAGUUGGAUUGUCGGAAUUUGCAGAACAUAAAAUCAGAUAUCCUUAGAAAUGUUAGAUUGGAAGCGUUGAGCAACAAUGAUUAUGAUAAACAUCCUGUUCAGUUUAGAUUCUGACCGGAGCAAAGAAUGUAUAGGGAUUUUACUGUUUCUUUUUUUUUUCUGUGAACAUUUUCUACCAGAAAUUUUACUCAGAUUUUCAAAUUUG